rnacentral:rRNA from 1 species
UACGUAGGUGGCAAGCGUUGUCCGGAUUUACUGGGCGUAAAGAGUGCGUAGGCGGUUUUCUAAGUUUGGUGUGAAAUCUCCCGGCUCAACUGGGAGGGUGCGCCGAAAACUGGGGGGCUAGAGUACUGGAUGGGAGAGUGGAAUUCCUGGUGUAGCGGUGAAAUGCGUAGAUAUCAGGAGGAACACCUGUGGUGUAGACGGCUCUCUGGACAGUAACUGACGCUGAGACACGAAAGCGUGGGUAGCAAACAGG